GUGCAUGCAGCCCCUGUCACGUACCCCUUGCUUGACUGAAUCAAUCACGACCCUUUCAUGUAAAAUCUUUAGUGUUGUGAGCCCUUAAAUGGGACAGAAACUGUGCACUCAGGGAGCUUGGAUUUUAAGGCAGUAGCUUGCCGAUGCUACCAGCUGAAUAAAGCCCUUCCUUCUACAACUCGAUGUCUGAGAAGUUUUGUCUGCAGCUCGUCCUGCUACAUUUCUUGGUUCCCUGACCGGGAAGUGAGGUAAUUGACGGACUGCCGAGGCAGCACCUUAGGCGGCUUAGACGUGCCCUGUGGAGCAUCUCUGCGGGGGACUCCAGCCAGCCUGAGUGACGCGAUCCAAACAGCGCUCCUGGGUAGGAAAAUGCCCCAGUGGGAUGCCUCACCAGAGCAGCGCUUGGCAGGCCCCCGCGGAGGAUAAACACAGUGGCUGAACACCAGGAAGGAACUGGCACUUGGAGUCCAGACAUCUGAAACUUGGAAUCCUUCUUGGCACUGGGAAUACAGAGGUGAUGGGCAGGAAAAUUCCCUGAUUUUAUAGAGCUUAAAUUCUUGUAGGAGAGACAGACAAUAACAAGCCUGCGGUUAAUCAGUAUUUGAACCUGAAUCUCAAGGAUCUUCUUAUGCUAAGCCUGAGACCAGACCAAGAGGAUACAUGGCACAGUGCUUUUGACCAUCUUGACCAGAACCACAAAACCCAGGAAAUUUCUCAGAAAUGGAUGUUCUCUACUGAUUUCCAAACCUUAGGUAUGUCUUCUUAGCCUAUCAGAGCUGCUGAGACUGCAUUCUGGGUCUUUUAUCUCAGCUGGAUUAUUCACACCUAAAGAAGACUGACUGAGAUGUGUUGGCGGGCUUCUCAAGAUCCCUAUCGAUGGCAGAAUGCUGACAUGAGUUGCCCAUAGUCCAGGUUUCCCAAUGUAGCAGAUGACUCUAGCGGCUCCAGCUUCAGCAUCAUCUUAAGUUCAAGUGAAAAGGAAAAGAGAAUCUCUUUUUCUUCAAACAAUUUCAAACUAAAAUCUUGAGUCUGACUUUUCCUGGCCAGAAUUAAGCUUGUACUUAUCCCUGAAAAAUCAUCAAUGCUACAGUGAUGAAUUUACCAAUUGAGGCAGAAUUUAGGUCACAUGACGCUCCAAAGCCUCUUCAAAACCGCAUGACUCAGAGUGAGGCAGAAGUAUUUGGGAUAUUUGCAACAGGAGAAGGGUAAAUGAAUGGAGAGUGCCAAAACAACUUAUGUCAAUUAUACAAUUAUAAAUACAACCAAAAUAAAGUAUGGAAAUCAGUAUUUUCACCUAUCUUAACAGAGUGAAAGAUUUAUUCUGUUGAAUAUUUGCCAUAUUUCACUUUCCACAUUCAGCACUCUGCAAUAUUUAAAGAAGAAAAUAAGUCUCCAUAUACUGAAUAAAGACAUAUCAAAAUUUGUGUGACAUCAUAUUCCUUAGUUACAUUUUUUGUUCAUUCAUUUGUGUGUUUGUUUAUGUCACCCACACUAGAUCAUGGUGGUGUGAACAUGGUUCACUACAGCCUCAACAUCCUGGGCCCAAGCAAUCCUCCCACCUCAGCCUCCUGUGUAGCUAAGACCACAGGUGGGCACCACCAUGCCCAGCUACCUUUUAAUUUUUUGUAGAUAUGGGGGUCUCACUUUGUUGCCCAGGCUGGUCUCGAACUCCUGGGCUCAAGCUAUCCCCACAACACUUUGGUUUGGCCUCCCAAAGUGUCGGGAUUACAGGUGCGAGCCAGUGCACUCAGCCUUACAUUUUUUAAUAAAUGAAUUUAAACAAAGAAUAGAAACAUAUUUUUAAACACACCAAUUAACAAACCAAAGUGUAUUGCAAAUUAUUGGAAGGGACAGCAGAGUGAAAAAAUGUUAUCCCACCUGCAGGAGGUGGAAAAGGUGAUAAUAUGAAACAAAUAUUUCCACCUAUCCUAAUAGAGUAAAAGAUUUAUUCUGCUGGAUAUUUUCUGUAUUUUACCUACCUUCCACAUUCAGCACUCUGCACUCUCUUGCCCAACUAUUCCUUUUAAUUUUCCCAUAAUACAACUUUUUAAUAUUUUAUGUAAUAUAUGUAUUUAUUUCUUUCUUUUACUAACUGUGUUUCCUACUGGAAUGUAAGCUUCAAAAAUUCAGAGAUCUUUGUCCUUGUUGCUGAUAUAGCCUACUGUCUAAAAAAAACUUCAGAUAUUUAAUUUUUUUAACUUUUAAGUUCAGGGGUACAAGUGCAAGUUUGUUACAUAGAUAAACAUGUGUCAUGGGGGUUUCUUGUGCAUAUCAUUUAAUCACUCAGGUAUUAAGCUUAGUACCCAUUAGUUAUUUUUUUCUGAUCUUCUCUCUCCUCCUAUCCUUCACUCUUCAAUAGGCCCCAGUGUGUGUUAUUCUCCUCUAUGGGUCCAUAUGUUCUCAUCAUUUAGCUCCCACUUAUAAGUGAGAGCAUGCAGUGUUUGGUUUUCUGUUUCUGUCAGUUUGCUAGGGAUAAUGGCCUCCAGCUCCAACCAUGUUCCUGCAAAGGACAUGAUCUCAUUUUUUUUAUGGCUGCAUGGUAGUCCAUGGUGUAUAUAUACCACAUUUUCUUUAUCCAGUCUAUCAUUGAUGGGCAUUUAUAUUGAUUUCAUGUCUUUGAGAUUGUAAAUAGUGCUGCAGUGAACAUAUGUGUGUAUGUGUCUUUAUAAUAUAAUGAUUUAUGUUCCUUUGGGUAUAUACCCAGCAAUGGGAUUGCUGGGUCAAAUGGUUUUUCUGUCUUUAGGUCUUUGAGGAAUUGCCACACUGUCUUCCACCAUCUUUAUUUCUGCCUUCGUUUCGUUAUGUACCAGUAGUCAUUCAGGAGCAGGUUAUUCAGUUUCCAUGUAGUUGAUCAGUUUUGAGUGAGUUUCUUAAUCCUGAGUUCUAGUUUGAUUGCACUGUGGU
rnacentral:lncRNA from 10 species